rfam:Gossypium hirsutum cultivar TM-1 chromosome 18, whole genome shotgun sequence
UGCUAAAAAUUUCAUCCACUUCUUCUGUUAAAAACUGGUGUGGCUAACGGAAUAACCAAACAGUGACACAUGGCAUACCAUGUGUACCUCAUGCUAACAUACGAGGACUAUUUUUAAUAGCAAAAUUGGAUAUAAUUUUUAACA